rnacentral:rRNA from 1 species
AACGAACGCUGGCGGCAUGCUUAACACAUGCAAGUCGAGCGCCCCGCAAGGGGACCUGCAGUCGGGUUAUUAGCGCGUGGGAACUUACCUUUUGGUUCGUAACAACUCCGUGAGACUGGGGCUAAUACCGGAUAAGCCCUAACGGGGAAAGAUUUAUCGCCAAAGGCUCGGCCCUCGUCUGAUUAGCUAGUUGGUUAGGUAACGUCUCACCAAGGCGACUAUCAGUAGCUGGUCUGAGAGUAUGAUCAGACACACUGGGACUGAGACACGGCACAGACUCCUACGGGAGGCAGCAGUGGGGAAUAUUGGACAAUGGGCGCAAGCAUGAUCCAGCCAUGCCGCGUGAGUGAUGAAGGCAUUAGGGUUGUAAAGCUCUUUUGUCCGGGAAGAUAAUGACUGUACCGGAAGAAUAAGCCCCGGCUAACUUCGUG